CCGAUGGGGUCCACCCUGCCUGGCUUGGGAAGGAGCACAUGACUAUACCUUGCCAAUCAGUGCAUUCCAUCCUCCUUCCCACACUGAUUGGUCCAAAGAAAAACAUGCAAAUCAAGCUAAAACAAUGAGAGUCUCUUGACUGAAUGUAAAGCUCAAACUGCCAGCAGCCACCACAAGAGGAGUCUGUCUACAGAUGAAGCCAACACUUAAAGACCCAGCCAAUAAUAAGAAAUAAGAAGUGAAUUCCAAUAAUAACAUUGGUAUCUGGAUCAAGCUAUUCUCGGUGUUGGUCAUCCCUGAGGACUUCUAAGUUAUUAAUCUUGAACGGCACAUACAGUGUGAAUGUAGCAAGGCACUCAAUACCCUGAAAAUUCGCUCGUCUCUCAUGGGCCUGCCUCUGAAGCUGCUAUGAAAGCCGGCAACCACACAGAAUUUGCCUCCGGUAAGAAUUAUUUAAAAGCGUAAAGGUCAGACCCAGCAUUGUACACACACAUUUGGGUUUUCCAUUUUUCUACUUAUUCUACUGCCCAACAGCAUGCAGGCUCAUCAGAAGGGGCGGAAGGAUGUCCUGCGGCUCUGCAGAUGUGGUGCUGGCAAAAGAGGAGCACCCAGUGGAAGGAGCAACCUCAUCUCUCCAAAUAUAUGUGUGCUCCAAAACCCAUCUCACCUUCAUCAGAGAUUAGGAGAAGGAUGAAAGUAUCCAGUGUGGUUACCUAAACUAACUUGUGAACACAUCUGAGCCACAGAGGAGAAAUGCAUCACAGGAAGACAGAAGCAGCUAAGGCUGGAACCAAAUAAAUACAGGUUAAGACUGUCAAUGGGACUCUAGUGGGCUCACUGUCUGGCAAGACCUGGAGAAGUUCACUCUUCACUUACAGUUCAGAGUACAAAAUAAGUAAUCAGUGUUUGUCAAGUAGCCUGAAUAUAACUGGUACAGAAUCUACACGACGCUAAGAACUCAAUCACUGAGAAUUCAGCCACUGAGAAAAGGGAAUACUGUAUAUUUGACAAUUGGUUUUAAUGUCCAUAGGACGUUCUGAGGGCCCACCUGGUCUAGCUUCCGACCAAUCUCAAACUUGACACCAACUACUUUGACUGCAGCCUUGAAGCGACGGUCUCUGUAACUAAGAGUGAUUUCUAGAGCUGCUCACAGUACGGGAAUAAGGUGUCUGAGCUGAAGAAAUGAUACCAAAAAGCCUAAAAUUGCUGGUGGAGGCUUUCUUUGAAAACUCUCACUGCCGUACUGUGAGGUUUAAUGUAAGAUUUGUCCUACUCCCAUUUCUCACUUUUAUUGAACGAUGCUCACCUGAAGAGAUGCUAGAUUUCUGAGUGUUCAGGAAGAAUCUAGGUACAUGUACCUUGUUAACACAUGUUAUUAAAGCCCAUGGACAUCAUUUAGGGCUUUGCUUGGUUCCAUUUUGCUCUAUCAUCUCUAGUCUUUCCGUUUUGUAUGUCCAUGACUGUGCCUGAUCUUGUAUUGGAAAUACUUUCUUUCCUUUUGUCACUGGGUGUCUAAUCUGUGUAAAUUCUCAGUUCACCAGCCAGAGACAUAUCUCUACCACCACCACCCUGAUUCACUCAUUCAUUCGUUCAGAAGACAGGGACCAAGCAUCUACUAUGUGCCAGGCACUGAGCUUGCCUAGGGUAUGCAUAGAGGACAAAGUACAGGUCCUUGCUCUGAUGGAGCUUGUAAUCACUUUAUACUCUCUUUCUAUCCACCAGCAGCAACUCUGGAUUAAAAGGAGCCUAUUAGUGUAAUAGGAGAAAAUGAAAGAACACCCAGCAGCCAGCCAGCCAUGUCCCAAAGUGGAGGUCCAGGUCUUCUGUGGAGCACAGUGUGGGCCCAUGGCAGGUCUGACUGCAGCCGAAGUACACUGCCAGCACUUCCCUCUUGGUGCAUAUGCCCAGGGCUGCUGUCUCUCUCCACUGCAUGGUUCUUCAGAGGGAAAAAGCCACAUGCAACCUAUACUUGCCUCCUGAUAUGUGUUGUGGAGGAAGUUGCCUCUGUGGUGCAGGAACAGCAGGAGCUGACUCAUGCCUUAUAACACAUUAAGACAUAAAUCUGUGUGUGUGAGAGACAGGGUUUCCCUCUGUCACCCAGGCUGAGUGCAGGGGUGUGCUCACGGCUCAUUGCAACAUCGACCUCCCAGACUCAGCAAUCCUCCUGCCUCAACCUCCCAAGUAGCUGGGACUACAAGCACAUACCAUGCCUGGCUAAUUUUUUAAUUUUGUAGAGAUGGGGCCUCACUAUGUUGCCCUGUCUGGUCUCAAACUCCUGAGCUCAAGUGAUCCUCCAACCUCAACCUCCCAAAGUGUUGGGAUUACAUGCACAAGUCACUGCACCUGGCCAAUUUUUCUUUUUAAACCCUAGUGUCUGAGUCACUUGUUUUUUCUCUUCCCUCAAUGAUCCUAUUUUCCCCUAGAAGCACACCUCACCACUUAAUCCUGAGAGCCCCUGAAGGGUGCUGGCCUGGAUUUCUGUACACCCUUUUUGCAACUAGAUGAAAACGUCCAGGUCUUCUAAGAUGAAAAGCAGCUACUUCCUGAGUUGCUCAGGCCACGGAGUAGACAGACAUCUAGGAUAUCCUGGUUUAGUCUAGCAAACUCCGCAAAGGAAGCCUGGAUUCUAGUCCUAUUUUGCCCUCAAAUUAAGUCUGUAGCUUUGGGCAAGUCACUUUCUCUGUCAAAAACUCUCUAUGUUGGUCUCUGUCAAAAGGAGGCAAUAAUGAACAGCAGUUGACAUAUAAACACUGUAAAUGCUGGCUAUUGUUAAUUAUUAUUAGUAAUACAUACCCUGGUUAAAGAAUUGUUGUGAGCCCCAAAUGAGAUAAUACAUAUGAAAGUUCUCUGAGUGAAAUACACCAUCCAAAUGUAAAUUUAUUAUUGUUGUUUGCCAAAUGGCUCUCUCAGAAUGUGCAGGCAAAAAUAUAAAUUAUGCCAACGGUUGCUAUGAAGCAUAAUUGAAUGCAGACAAAUACUUCUUUAGCACCUCCACAUUCUUCCAUACAACCACCACCAACACAUCAGAUAAAGGCACCCGGCAGGCUUUGAAGGCUGAAUUGGACAGAGCUGGCAGAAAGGGACGAGUGAGAUCCCACAUGACCAGUUCUGCAUAAACUGGCUUUGGAAAUGGUAUUUACUGAUUUGGUCAUCAAUGGCGAGGUAGGAAGCAAAGUGAUCGGUUUUGCUUUCUCCUUUUUCAAAUAAACAGGGCAGUUGUUAAACCAGAAGUGAAUCUGAUCCGGGCUUUAAGAGCAGUCAGCUGCAUUCUGAAACAGGCAAAAAUGUAAACAGAGCCCUGUAACUCUAGACUAGGGCAGAACAGCCAUAGGUUUCAUAAUGGGAGAGUCUAUGGGCCCUGUGCCAAGAAAAAUGAAAUGUUACCCUGGGCCUUUAAACAGAAUCAUGUAAGAGCAGAGUGCAUAUUUGUUUAACACACACACACACACACAAGACCUUUUUCUGUGCCAACACCUUUCUGAACCCUCCUGAAUAAAAGCUGAAAUCCCUGAAAACGUCGUACAGAACCAAUAUUGUUUGCAUAGUCUCAUUCUUUAGUGCCAAAGGAUUUUUCUGCUGAACAAGGAGCUGUUUCUUUCUUUUCUUUUUUCUUCUUCUUCUUCUCCUUUUUUUUUUUUUUGCCUAAGUUAAUUACAAAGUAUGACUGAGAAAAUAAAAUAAAUGAGCCCAUUCCACCCAUCCCUGUAUCUGAAUUCUAUCAUAUGAGUUGCCAGUUGGUUUUCUAAUCCUCUCACUCAAUAUCUGCUGUUAAUUUGUUCACUAUUUCAAGAACUUGAAGACUGUCAGCAAAAUACAUGAUGCAUUACAAAACUUAUAAUUGGAAAUAAAAACAUCUGACGCUUUCCUGACAGAGUAAACAUAAAGUACUAUUGCACUGAUCAGAACAAGGGAAAUGUGAGCAACCUUGUAGCUAUUUGUGUGCAAACACAAUUAGAAAUGCUGCAGAGAGUGAAAUCAACUCCCACUUUGAAAAAUGCUGAGAAAAUUACAUCUAAAUGAAUGAAUGAAUUCAACAUGGUUAUGAUAGGAAAUGAGGGGAAGAGAGGAAGGGAAAACAAAUCCUGCUCACACUUCCUUUGAAAAUGCAACUCAACAGACUUUCUCUUCCUAUUUCAGCCAUUUUAGAAUUGCACUGCCUAGGCCUGAUCUAAUUUUCCUGCUGGAGAAGUUAAGGCACUUCCUCCACAGUUACUAAAUCUGACAAAUUACACCUGGGUCCACUCUAACGUGAAAAAAUGUGUUCUUUGUUCCUGACCCUUUGGUCAGCCUAGAGAUCAAAUUCCUGGACAUUGGAAAGCCCCACUCAUAUUCAUUAAAAGCCACGGGAGACCAGCUCUGUAUUUCUGUUCAAGAGAAGAACAAGGUGCAGGCUUUCGCUGAACAAUACAACUGCUCUGCUCCAGUCGGUGCAAUAUAGACCUUUCACUUUCUGCAGCUUGGCUGCUGAUCAAUUAGUAUGUGGAUUUUUUUUUUUUCUGCACAGUAUCUUAGUAUCAAAACAGCAAAAGAAGAGCCUAGUCCCACGAGUAAGUUUACCCCAAAUUGCUUGUGUUAAAAAGCUGGCUACAGAUUCAGUAAUCAAAAAUACAAAGAUGAUUUCAAAACUCUACCUUACCUCUACCCAGCCAGACAUGCCAUUAGUUACCACAGGGGCUAGUAUUUGACAGAUUAGAAUUUUGUUCCCUUUCUAACCAUACUCAGCCUUUGAGAAAGAUGUUACAGAGCUGAGAGUGAGUCACAAAGACAAAAUUGGGCACCACUGGUGGCAGAGAAUCAAUUUUAGGUAUGCAAGCAAUCCACAAGCUCUCCCAUGGUACGAAGUAUGUAUGAGGCUGACCCACCUGCCUGACAACAAAAAACCUUCUUCUUCUGCACUCCCAAAAAAGAAUGAGAAAAAAACAACAAUAGGAGAAGUGAAGCAAAUCUGUGGCUGAACUGUUAAAAAGAUGCCUGAUGCCUUUCUUCCAGAUUCUUGGAAGAAUGAGAUGGUGAAGGAAUACAUACAGAUGCCAUAAAACCUGCCUUAAGGCCUCCUGAGGUAAGGGUGCCCCUAAAGAAUUCAUCAACUAUUGCCUUCCCAUUUGAGGGAGCCCCUUUCCUUCCAGACCUGGCAUCCCACUUAUAACAUCUUCAGUUUAGGCCACUGGAUUUUCCCAGACCUAUCAAACCACAUUCAAAGCCUCUUCCUUGGGGAUCUAGUAAGUACUACAGAACAUUACGGUUGCAAACAUAUAUAAAUGCUCUGGUGUGUUGUAAGUUAUUUUCUACAUACCAAUUCCUGUUAAACUGUAAAUUAGAAAACACUACUUUAAUUCUCCCUAGUCUUGAGGUAGCUUUCAGCUGUGUUGCAAGUUAUCAACAUGUAACAAAUACAGACUAAUAUUCUUUUUCUGUAGCUAGACCAAGCCACAAUCCAUAUCUUCUAAAUACAUGAAUUAUAGCUAUUUUCCUAGUCUGAUGGCGAUUACUUUUGAGAAACCUGUGAAUCCUUAAUAUCAGGGUUCUUAUUUUGAUUUCUAUUUUUAAAACCACUAGCGGUAUCAGCAAUGCAGAACUUAAUACUUCCUCCAAAAAAGUCACUGUGAAAACAGGGAAAUCAAACAAUCAAUUUACAUUAUUUUGGGUUGAAAUAUCUGUUGGGUUACUAAGCAGGGACUCACCUAUGUGUAAAUCUCAGAGAUGGAAAAAAUCUAAUUUCCGAGGGGAGAAAAGUGGUACCUAUGGUAUAAGUUCUCCCAAACGUUGCUUCUUAAUAAUAAAAGAGGUUAAAAAUUGUACAAGACAUUAAAGGAAUUCAAGCAUGCUCACAAAUAUGUAUUGUUUUUGAAAAUUCUAACUUUGAUGACCAUUUAAGUGGGUGGCAUAUGAGAGAAACAAGGGCAGACCUCAUUCCUCAUGUUUUACAACUAAAUGAAGAAGUUAAGGGACUUGCCUAGUGUCACCCAAUGGGCAGAAGGUGAACUAGGGCUAAAACUUAUCUAAUCUCACUCCUAGUCCCAUAGUCUCCUUAUGAAGGUUGACAGAGGUAUAAAGUAGUUUGGAAACAUUAACACAUCACUAUUAGUAGUAAUAGCUAACAUUUAUCAAAUGCUUACUCCAUGCUAAAAAGUCUUCUAUGCACUGUGGAUGCAUUAAUUCUAUCUUCAUAACAACCAUGAAACCGUAAUGUUUUCUCCCAUUUUAGAGAUGAAACAGAGGCAGGCAGAUGUUAAGAAACUCACCCAAGGUCCCACUGAGCAAGUGGUAAAGAUGGCAAAUACUCUCCUCCCUAGCACAGAAAUGCUAAUGCAGACAUUUCUAAAUCGAUGUUCAGAUUAUCAGUAGCUCUGGGAAUAUUAAUUUUGAUGAAAUAUCUUCACAGUGAGAUCCAAACUACUGAUGCCUCCCAAAAACAGAUGAUGAAACUGAAAUAUCAUUUUUGUCAACCUCUGUAUUCUUGGUCAAAAUACAAAGUAUCAACAAUUCCAAUGGAUGGGGCAAAAAUCAUUUAAAGAUCUCCCUCAUUGUAAAGAGAUGCUCAAUAGGAAAUGGUUGAAGCUUUGUGGAAAUCUCAACAGACUUAAGUCUAAGGACACCUUUAGGAGAACAUUUCAGAAGACUGAUUAGUGCUUAUUUUCUUGACUUUGCUACCUUGCCAGUAUUAAAAUUAAAACAUUUUAAAUGAUAUCAAUCCAGUUCAGAUAUAAACUUUGUCUGCAGUUUGCAGCACCACCAAAAACAGAUCAUGCCCUGCCACAUCACAUAUCUGAAUUAGUCUGUUUGUUCGAUUGCUUGAGAUGCUGCAAGAUCUGCCUGAGGACCAAAAUCAUUCCCUCAUUCAUCACAGCUACAAUCUAGUUUAGCUGAACCCUGUCCUAAACAGAUUUGAAUCAGCUCAGAUAAUGGAGGAAGUUUGUUGCUGUCAUCAUUUCAGCAACUAUCAGUCCAGGGAUUUCUGAACAUCUGCUUGCUCAGGAAUAGCCUUAAAUGUCCUGUGCCUUUUAAGGAUUUUUUCAAAAGUAAUCUUAAAUUAUUUUUAAACAAUGAUCUUAACUUGCAUGUAGAGCACCUCUGCCAAUCAGAGGUCAUUCCUCAACUACUGUACUGACAUUAAGAACUGGGCUGUGAAGCUGGAAAUGCUCUGUCUCCUGCCCUUUACCCAGAAAUGCUAAUAUCAACAUCCUACAUGACCCCAGAUUACAGUUUGACAGGACUGAUUUCUGCUGUUUAUUCUCUUGCCCUUUACCACGUUCUCACACAUUAAAAAAAUAAAUUGACGUACCUUACUAAAUAAAGCUAGGUAUAAACUGGAUCUGAGGAUUAUAACCACCAAUUACCACAUCCCAACCCCUGCCACCCCUCAGUCAUGCUGUACACCCUGGAAUCAGACUUGUCAGGUUCAAAUCAGACCUCUUAUUAUCUGUGGCGAUUCUUGAGCAAUUACUUAACUUUUCUGCACCUGGAUUUUCUUAUCUGCCAAAUGAGAAUCAUAAUAGUGCCCAUCUCCUAAAGGUAUUUUGAGGAUUAAAUAAGAUGACACGUAUACAAAAAAUGUAGGACAAUGCCUGGCAUAUAGGAAGUACUUAAUUAAGAGUUCAAAAUCAUUGUCGGGGUUGAUUUUAAACAGAUAUGUACUUCCUGUACCCACUCACCAGUCCUUCUGGAUACCAACUCGUA
rnacentral:lncRNA from 1 species